rnacentral:rRNA from 1 species
CCUACGGGAGGCAGCAGUGGGGAAUUUUGGACAAUGGGGGAAACCCUGAUCCAGCCAUGCCGCGUGAGUGAAGAAGGCCUUCGGGUUGUAAAGCUCUUUCGGCUGGGAAGAAAUCGCACAGGCUAAUACUCUGUGUGGAUGACGGUACCAGCACAAGAAGCACCGGCUAACUACGUGCCAGCAGCCGCGGUAAUACGUAGGGUGCGAGCGUUAAUCGGAAUUACUGGGCGUAAAGCGUGCGCAGGCGGUUGUGCAAGACAGAUGUGAAAUCCCCGGGCUCAACCUGGGAACUGCAUUUGUGACUGCACGACUAGAGUACGGCAGAGGGGGGUAGAAUUCCACGUGUAGCAGUGAAAUGCGUAGAGAUGUGGAGGAAUACCGAUGGCGAAGGCAGCCCCCUGGGUCGAUACUGACGCUCAUGCACGAAAGCGUGGGGAGCAAACAGGAUUAGAUACCCUGGUAGUCCACGCCCUAAACGAUGUCAACUAGUUGUUGGUAGGGUUAAACCUAUUAGUAACGUAGCUAACGCGUGAAGUUGACCGCCUGGGGAGUACGGUCGCAAGAUUAAAACUCAAAGGAAUUGACGG